GUAUUAUUUCAAGUUUUGUUACCUGGUUAAUUGGAGUAGGUGCUCAAAUAAAUUGGAAUUAAGACACAUGAUAAAGACAUGAAAAAAGACGUUGAAAUAUAUUAAUUUUGUUAUAUUUAAGUUGUUACGCUGUACCCAAAAAAAGACAUCGUCUAGUCAUUGUAUUGUUGUGUUGCAACCGAGUACUUAAGUAUUUUUAAAUAGUUGCUUAUUGCUUUUUGUUAGCUUAUAAUGGCUUUGUUACGGUGUAUUACGAGUAGAAGUUGGAAUUGAAGUGGAUCUAACAAUUAUGUUAAUCUUAUAGCUAAAUUGAAUCCCAAUUUGAUAGUAUUUCAUAGUAUUACAAGAUUUGCCUGUCCAGGUAGUCAUUCUUUAAGAUUCCAGACGUAUAAACUGUUAAAAUUCUAAUAAUUUUAUUUAGACAGUAAAGACGUUAUUCGAACAGAUUAAUUUGGUAACGAUGCGAUGCUUUGCAAAUGUUCACUUAAAAUAAUGUUAUCCCUAAAUUGGUACACUGACCACCACAAUUCCAAACUUACCAACUGUGUAUAUUAUAUGUAAAAUGGGUUCCAUGCCAAUAAUAUGUCAUAGUUUAGGUAUUAGUACAAGUACCUAUGUGCAAAAGAUGUCCAUUAAUCAUAAAACUCAUUGCGUAUUACAGUUAUUAUAUUACUUAAUAUUAAGUUUUAAAAAGCUGUUUAACCUUUAAUAUUGAUGUUUUCUGUAGAGGUUUUAAGCCGUGCUUUUUCAACGAUGGAGCGAGGUAAGGACCGAAUUCAAAUUGGAGCCCUAACAAACAAAUAUGUAUCUACCUACAUAAUUUAGUAACACCACCGUUGUGACGUCUUGCCUCGUUGUUAAGUAAAACACCUUAUUAUAACCUUCCACUCUAUUCAAGUUUCCAUCUUAAGGUUCGGCCACAUCGCUGCUCAAAAUACGGCGACGGUACGGAAUCGCAGUGACAUGCCUCAUUAUGCAAAACUACGUUGCGUCAGCGUAUUUUUACCCGCGGUGUGGCAUGCGAUAAAGUCGUCACGUUUACGGUACGUCACUGCGGUUCCGUACAGUCACCGUAUUAUGAGCAGCGGUGUGGCCGAUCGUUUAUAAUAAUACAUUUGAUCGAUUGAUUGAUGAAAAUUUAAAUGAAGUAGAUUGGAUUCGGAGUAUAGUCUUGCGUUUUAAUCAUUGCGAUGAGUUAAAUAUAAAAUGAACGCGCUUUAUGUAUUAUUUUUAAGUUAUACUAUAAUUAUUAAAUGUUUCUAAUUAUACCUAUUAGCUGUGUUGUAGGAACUUGAGUUUUAGUAGAUACUUUAUAAACUUGAAUAGUUAGUACUGUUAGUAGCCCAGGUAGAAAGGUAGGAAAGAAUGAGCUUGUAAUAUAAAUGUAAGAUAGAUGUGUGAUGUUACUGAAACAGUAGGGAGGCUUCGCACCGGAGAGGACCAUUGUUAAGAACUUUAGGAUUAAACUUCGGUAGAAUGCUCAGAUUUGCUGCCAGCUUUUAGUAGCUUCAUUUAAGGAACGCAUCUACCUGAUAUCCGACUAUGAACAUACGUAUUCGUCGUCGUGAUCAAAACUAGUGAAAACUGCCAGCGACUGGGGGGCAAUUUUUGAAUUUCGAGCGCAUGAUUUCAUGUAGCUCCCUUCAAUACUAUCUCUACUACUAGGCAUUUAAAUUAUACUAAUAGAAUUGAAAACGUCUGGUCAAUACCAUUAGAUUCCCUAUUUAUAUCGCUCGUAUUUCGAGUGACGAAAUAAGACAAAUAUGGCAUGAAAACUACAGAGCUUUGACAUCACAAUGUCAAAGCUCUGUACGAGUAUGUCGAGUAUGACAAAUUUCGUCAGUAUGCAUCAGCAUCAGCAACCUAUAGAAUCGUCAAACAAGAAUAUAUCGAGUUUGGCUGUUGGUUGGUUGAUGCCAAAACUAUGUUUGAAUAGUUAUAGCACGAGGAAUCGUUUAUUCGUGUAGUUAUAUAAAUAUUUAUGUUUGUUGUGUGGUUCGUGUAUAUUAGAAUAUGGGACGUGCGAAGCCUCGACAUUCUCUGCCUUAACGCUGUGUAAACAGUACCGUCUGCGAAAUGUUAAGAACAUUUCAAAUCAUGUGCUGUGAUUUACUCUGGUUUCUAGUCUGAUGUCCAUUCCAAAGUUCAUAGCGACUAACUACCUACCCCUUAGUUCGUUCUAUUUAAUCUUGUAGCAUAUGGUUCCCAAUACCGCAAAUGUGCUAAGAACUACCGUUUAAGAGGAAAGGGGACGGUCGCUUCUCCAUACAAACGUAGUUCCCAUUUUCCUCUCUGGAUAUUGAUAUUAUGAAAAAUAUUUUUACAUAAUUUGAUGUAUAUUAAAUAUAGCUGUGCCCCUACGUCUGACUUUUUUAGACAUGUAUUUUGAUUAUUGCAAAAUUGGAGCGAAAAACAUAUUUCAUACAAAUUUUAAUUUAUUUAUUUAUUUCCAAUAAUUUAAAUAUCCAGAGGAAAAUGAGGACUACGUUUGUAUGAAAAGAUGAUUUCGCGCGGGUCCUCCACUUUCGCCUUAACGUCAUAUUAGUAAGGGUCAAUUCAUAACUGACAAAUAUGCGAUCUUACGUUAUUCUCUUAUCGUACUCCACUAUAAUUAUAACAUUUUAAAGCGUACAAAAACACAUUUAUUAAUGUACUUGCAGAAGUCAAUUUUAAAGUCAUUUCAAAGAAAACGCUAGUACAUGAGGAACACUAAGUCUUAGUAAAUGCAAACCAGUUUCAUAUAUGACAAAUUAUAAUUGUUUUCUUAUAAUUAUAAACCUUUUAUAACUAAAAACUAAAAUUUGGGAUUAUUAUUCGAAUAAAAAUGUUCAAUUGUUAUUUUGUAUGUUUCACCGUCUCUAGCUAUAAUUCUAUAAAAUAAGUGUACGAAUAUAAAAAUAAACAUUGCAGCCUCGAUUACGAUAACAAACAACACCAAAAAGUCAUCAUUACACCUACCGAUUGAUUGUACUUUCUAAACCACUAAUUUUAAUUAUUGUGAUUUUAUUAUAUACCUAUUAUAGUUACAUAUUUAUUACAAAAGAGAAAAUACAUAUUUUGGAUUCAGUUCCUACGUGGAUGAAUAAAACAAGAAGACGGUAUCUACAAAGUAGUGUUCUUCAUUCAGCGUCACCUAUUGAACGGAAGUUGAGGUGUUUUGACAGAAGGUCUAAGCGUCAAACAAAAAGAUGGAACUGAGACAUAUUAUAGAUGGCGCUACGGUACCCGAACCCAAAGACAGAGGUCUAUAGCUCUGGUUUCCUAGGAUAGUGGUCAUAUAGCGGCCGUCUCAAUACAAAAUACUACUCAUCCAUAUUUAGCCGUAUUAUUUUGUAUGGAGACGGCCGCUAUAUGACGGCACCGCUAUUCUAGGACUGCAGAACUUAAGCGUCGAACAAAAUAGAUGGAAAUGAGACUUAUUUUUCAAAAUAUCUCUACUUCCAUUCAAUAGAUGGCGCUGCGGUUCCCGAACCCGAAAGGAUCCAACAAAAUGGAUAGAACAGAAACCUGCUGCGUUAGUGACGCCAUCUGGAAAAAGUGAAUAUUGGAAGAACGCGAUUUUGUAUACACGUUGUCGAUCUUCUCGUUUUAUUUGUCCAUGGUUCCUAUAAGGAGCCUAUGAGCCGUGAAUCGUAUCUGUCUAAAUAAAUCCACCAGUCUUCCAUACCUUGUAAUGUGAUGUUUGUAUGUAAACGUAAUAUUAUGCUUGUGCUUAUGCAUAUUGCAUUAAUUGCAUAGCAUUAUAUUAUGGUGACGCUUUUUCACGCAAGAACAAUAAUAAAAUAGGGUGCAGGGCAAUUUUAACUACCUUCUGGUUUAGUUCUGAAGUAAUCAAUAAUAACUGCAUUGUUUACCUUAACUAUUACAACUAGUUUAGAUACGCUACGCUCAAAAUAUAUUUUUUGCUUCAUAAUAAAAUAAUUGUUAUUAGAAGGAGAAUAGUGAUAGGUAAAUUAAUUACCCGGCGUCAAACAAACGCUGCUAGUUUUUCAGACUAGAAGAUACAGUCUUUAGUUUGAGGACGGCACAAUUUUACUUAGUUUGCACAUUAUAGGUACUAUUUUACACCAAGAUGUUCGAUGGAAUAGGAUGUCUCGAUUCAAUUAAAGCGAGUAAUUUGAAGUGAACACCGUGUUCACUGAACAGUUGUACAGAACAAUUUUAUAAGCGGACAAGCUGUUCGAAAUUAACUUAAAACAAAUUUAAGAAUGUUCGCAGGUAAAUUUGUAGCCACUUCUGCUACUGUACAGUUGCCCUCAAGAAUCCUUGUAUUUUUUAUUACAAUUAUUACUAUGGAUGCACAUUACAAUCCAACAAGUGUCCACCGAUUUUUGACGACCGUGCAGCCAGUGCAUUGUUAUUUAUUGGUACCAACCUAAUUUUACAGGCUAUUUUGUAUGACUAAAAUAAUCAUGUUACUAAAAGUAUUCGACAGUAGUUAUAAAAGUAAAAGAUGGAUCAGAGACUAAUAAAUUAUAAAGAUUGUGAAUGUCUAGGAAAAAUCUGAAGCUUCAAAAUAGGUAAACUAGACGACUCACAAGAGGUCGCAGUACAUAAUAUAGGUACAUAGACGCCCUAUUGACACGACUAUUGAAGCCACGACUUUUCCUUUAACAUUUUUGUAGUUGUAACGGUCUGAUAUGUGUGUUACAAAGUAUUAUUUUCACCAAAGCGAUAUUUGGCUAGUCCAUAUAUUUAGAUAAUUAUAGUAUUAUUAAGGGAAUACUAAAAUGUUACACUAUUUAAUAAAAUUUUCCUCGCUAAUAAA